AUGCAGAGAGGUUGUUCCUCAAGCUCAAGAUCUCCAUCUUCCAUUAGAAGGAGAGUAAUAGCAAUCCCAAACAUGGAACCUAGAAAUAUUUUCAUGCAUGAAGAACCAUCGAGUUGCACAAAGGAUUCUAGGACUUUGUGUCCACCAGAUGAAGUAGCUGACCAACUCAACUCACAUAAUCCAAUUACAAUGCCCGAAAUCAGUACUCCUGAAUCCCAAAAGCAACAGUCGUUUUCAUUGGAACUGGAUUUGCAAGAAACUUUUGAGAAAACCCCAGAAGCUGCAUUGAAGAGCCCAGCUUCUGUUUUGAACCCUCCUCCCUCCUUGAAAAGGAAAACAAUCAGAGAUUACUUUCUAGCGUCUUCAUGAAACUUACUGGUUCAUUCCUCAAGACUUUUUUGUUAUACAGCACUGCCAUGAUCCUUUUUGGUCAAGAAAAAGGUGGCAGCAGCUUUUCGGAUAAUUGAGAGAGGUGGUAUGUGAAAUGUAAAGCGGGAUUUCAUCAUCAGCAUGGCAAGAAUAAAACAAAAGUAUACAGAUACAUGUAAUGAAGUUGGAAGGAUUUUGAUGUAGAUGUUUUGUUCAUUACAGGGGGUUUCAUUCAUUUGUACCGCAAUAGGAAAAGGCAAAGUGGAAGUACAGUAAAAGACAAAAUUAGGAUCUCAUUCCAUUGUACUUGAAUCUUAAGAUUUAUAUUCUUAUCCACUGAUUUAUAUACUUGAUCUACACUUUCUAUGGUGGA